CGGCACAGAAGUAAAGGUUGGUAGAAAACCAAAAACAACGAAUGGAGCACAAAUUUUAAACCAAUACAUUCAUUAAAACUAAAACCAUUUACCAUUUUGCUUACCAUUGGGGAAUCUGUGAAAACAACCUAUAAAGACAAUAACAUCAUACAUAUCAUAACUUUAUGCACAAUCAGUAACAUAGAACAUAUCAUAAAUUCAUAUUCAUUAACAAUAACUAAUCAUCACUGUUUCUCAUUUCACCAGCCUACUAGUAUCCAUGGAGAUCCAUAGGGGUGUUCCCGCUACACGUGAACCAUUUUUCUUAACAAUCUUGAUUCCAAGGUCGUCCCCAUACCCCAUCCGGUAUGAGCACCAAGACAUUAAACCUCAAUACCCAAUCCGAUAUGAGGGUGAAGCGGGUCGUCCCCAUACCCUAUCCAGUAUGAGCGCCAAAUGACCAAGUCUCCAUACUACGUCCGGUAUGAGACAACGUUCACAGUAGGGUUCCCUAUGAACCCGAUAUGUUUACCAUCUCUCAGGAUAUCUAGUGAGGCUGUCAUCUUAUAUGUUUAUUGGAUCACAUCCCUUUUCUGUUUCUCCUUAAUCUCCGUUACCAAAUUAAACACAAUCACAUAAACAAUGAACAUGCACCCGGUAAUACAAUUAUAUCUUAAAUCCCAAAAUCACACAGUGGUCAAGUGAGACAGUAAUACAUGCAUUUAAAACCCUAAACCAGAUACCAUCAUGCCUUUAAACUGUAAAAUAAAUCAACAGAGAACAAUGUCCGAU
rnacentral:lncRNA from 1 species